UACGGAGGGUGCAAGCGUUAUCCGGAUUUACUGGGAUUAAAGGGUGUGUAGGCGGGUCUUUAAGUCAGUGGUGAAAUCUCCGAGCUCAACUUGGAAACUGCCAUUGAUACUAUUGAUCUUGAAUUUUGUUGAGGUAGGCGGAAUAAGUCAUGUAGCGGUGAAAUGCAUAGAUAUGACUUAGAACACCAAUUGCGAAGGCAGCUUACUAAGCAAAUAUUGACGCUGAGGCACGAAAGCGUGGGGAUCAAACAGG
rnacentral:rRNA from 1 species